AUUGAACGCUGGCGGCAGGCCUAACACAUGCAAGUCGAACGGUAGCACAGAGAGCUUGCUCUCGGGUGACGAGUGGCGGACGGGUGAGUAAUGUCUGGGAAACUGCCUGAUGGAGGGGGAUAACUACUGGAAACGGUAGCUAAUACCGCAUAACGUCGCAAGACCAAAGAGGGGGACCUUCGGGCCUCUUGCCAUCAGAUGUGCCCAGAUGGGAUUAGCUAGUAGGUGGGGUAAUGGCUCACCUAGGCGACGAUCCCUAGCUGGUCUGAGAGGAUGACCAGCCACACUGGAACUGAGACACGGUCCAGACUCCUACGGGAGGCAGCAGUGGGGAAUAUUGCACAAUGGGCGCAAGCCUGAUGCAGCCAUGCCGCGUGUAUGAAGAAGGCCUUCGGGUUGUAAAGUACUUUCAGCGAGGAGGAAGGCAUUAAGGUUAAUAACCUUGGUGAUUGACGUUACUCGCAGAAGAAGCACCGGCUAACUCCGUGCCAGCCGCCGCGGUAAGAC
rnacentral:rRNA from 1 species